rnacentral:rRNA from 1 species
AACGAACGCUGGCGGCGUGCCUAACACAUGCAAGUCGAACGGGAUUAGAGAGCUUGCUCUUUGAUUUAGUGGCGCACGGGUGAGUAACGCGUAGAUAAUCUGCCUGACGAUCUGGGAUAACACUUCGAAAGAGGUGCUAAUACCGGAUAAGCCCACGGGUUCCUUGGAAUCUGCGGGAAAAGGGGGGGACCUUCGGGCCUUCUGUCGUCAGACGAGUCUGCGUACCAUUAGCUAGUUGGUAGGGUAAAGGCCUACCAAGGCGACGAUGGUUAGCUGGUCUGAGAGGAUGAGCAGCCACACUGGAACUGAGACACGGUCCAGACUCCUACGGGAGGCAGCAGUGGGGAAUUUUGCGCAAUGGGCGAAAGCCUGACGCAGCAACGCCGCGUGAGUGAUGAAGGCUUUCGGGUCGUAAAGCUCUGUCAAUGGGAAAGAAGUGUAUUUUGGCUAAUAUCCUUAAUACUUGACGGUACCCAUAAAGGAAGCACCGGCUAACUCCGUGCCAGCAGCCGCAGUAACAC